UCCCUGGUAAUUUAGCUGGUAAAGGAUUUGCCUGCAAUGCAGGAGACCCCGGUUUGAAUCCUGGGUAGGGAA
rnacentral:tRNA from 1 species